UACGAACUGUGCAAGCGUUAAUCGGAAUUACUGGGCGUAAAGCGCGCGCAGGCGGCUUUCUAAGUCCUUUGUGAAAUCCCGGGGCUCAACUCCGGAUAUGCAUGGGAUACUGGAAGGCUAGAGACCAGUAGAGGCUAGCGGAAUUCCUGGAGUAGCGGUGGAAUGCGUAGAUAUCAGGAGGAACAUCAGUGGCGAAGGCGGCUAGCUGGGCUGGGUCUGACGCUCAUGUGCGAAAGCGUGGGGAGCAAAUAGG
rnacentral:rRNA from 1 species